rnacentral:lncRNA from 1 species
AGCAGAGGCGGAAGCGGUGUCGCUCUGAGGGGUCGCCAGUCGCCGCAGGCGCUUCAGCCCAGCGGCGGGCCUUGGCCCUUGGCUGCCUACUCCUACCGCCCCAGCCCCGGGCGGCCCUGGGCCUGCUGCGGGCGCGGCGCUGCCCGACCAGAGCUUCCUGUGGAACGUCUUCCAGAGGGUCGAUAAAGACAGGAGUGGAGUGAUAUCAGACACCGAGCUUCAGCAAGCUCUCUCCAACGGACAAAGGAAUCAUUAGGACAAAUUGUUAAUACUGCUUCAUGGUGGAGAUGCUUCUGGUUUAUUUUGUGGCUACCGCUGUUACUGCUUGGAGUGCCUCACCGAGCCAGGAUGAAGCUCCACCCGCCCUUCAGGAUGCAAAGCCCUCCUCUAUAAAGUGCAUGCGGGGCCAGAUGCAGUGGCUCACAUCUGACCUCCCAACACUUUGGGAGGCCGAGGCAGGGGGAUCGCUUGAGCCCAGGAGUUUGAGACCAGCCUGGACAACAUUGAUGAAGCCCCACCCGCCCUUCAGGAUGCCAGCCUUGGCAACAUCGUGAGACCCUGUUUCUACAAAAACUAAACAAGUGUAGUGGUGCACGCCUGUAUUCCCAGCUACUUGGGAGGCUGAGAUGGGAAGAUCACUUGAGCCUGGGAGGUUGAGGCUGCAUUGAGCUGAGAUCAAGCCACGGCACUCCAGCCUGGGAGACAGAGCGAAACCCCAUCUCAAAAAAACAAAGAAAGUGGAUGCGUGCUGCUCCUGCCAUUGGAUCAUCGCAGCAUUUUUCUUUUCUCUGAUAUGCGCCUUUUUCCUCAUCGUGGGGGCUCAUGUUUUCGUAAUUCCCUCUCGCUACUAGAUUGUGAGCUGUGUGAAGGAAGGUUCAUAGUUGAGUUGUAUGUACAGGCACACAAAAUUUGUCCUUGGAUAGACACAUAUCAAUCCACUUCCUUCUCCUCUCUGAAUUUCUUUAUUUAAAAAAAAAAGUAGAGAUGGAGUCUCACUGUCUUGCCCAGGCUGGUGUCAAACUCCUAGGCUCAAGUGAUCCUCCCACCUCUACUAAUAUGAAUUAUUAGGCUAUGCUAAUAUGAAUUUGUAUACUAAUAUGAUUGAAAUUAGUUUGACUUCUAUAAUAAUUGUUCUCCCAGAUUGGGCUUCUGUUUUGAUAGUAGAACUAAAUUAUUAGGCUAUUUCAAGAAAUUAAUAUAUUACUGGUAGAAAAACUGAAGCUACAAAAUGGCCUGGUUUCUCACUUCAGUUAAAUUUGUGCUUCUGAGUGCUUGUAUUCUAGGUGAAACCGCACUGAGAAGGUAUUUGUGGCCUAUACGCUGAUUCAUUGAUUAGACUUCUUUGCACAGGAGAGCUGCUAAAAAUUACUGCGGUGAACAGGUACGAAGAAAAAGACUGUUCUCUGCCCUUCUUUUUGCAAUAAAAUGUUACAAAC